rnacentral:rRNA from 1 species
CACGUAGGGUGCGAGCGUUGUCCGGAAUUAUUGGGCGUAAAGAGCUCGUAGGCGGUGUGUCGCGUCGGCCGUGAAAACCUGUGGCUUAACUGUGGGCUUGCGGUCGAUACGGGCAUCACUGGAGUUCGGCGGGGGAGACUGGAACUCCUGGUGUAGUGGUGAAAUGCGUAGAGAUCCGGAGGAACCCCAGAGGCGAAGGCGGCAUUCUGGCUCGCAACUGACGCUCAGACACGACAGCAUGGGGAGCGAACGGG